rnacentral:rRNA from 1 species
AUUGAACGCUGGCGGCAUGCCUUACACAUGCAAGUCGAACGGCAGCGGGGGAGAAGCUUGCUUUUCCUGCCGGCGAGUGGCGAACGGGUGAGUAAUACAUCGGAACGUGCCCUGUAGUGGGGGAUAACUAGUCGAAAGAUUAGCUAAUACCGCAUACGACCUGAGGGUGAAAGUGGGGAACCUCAAGGCCGCAUGCUAUAGGAUCGGCCGAUGUCUGAUUAGCUAGUUGGUGGGGUAAAGGCCUACCAAGGCGACGAUCAGUAGCUGGUCUGAGAGGACGAUCAGCCACACUGGGACUGAGACGCGGCCCAGACUCCUACGGGAGGCAGCAGUGGGGAAUUUUGGACAAUGGGCGAAAGCCUGAUCCAGCAAUGCCGCGUGUGUGAAGAAGGCCUUCGGGUUGUAAAGCACUUUUGUCCGGAAAGAAAUGGCUCUGGUUAAUACCUGGGGUCGAUGACGGUACCGGAAGAAUAAGGACCGGCUAACUACGUGCCAGCCGCCGCGGUAAGAC